rnacentral:rRNA from 1 species
GACGAACGCUGGCGGCGUGCUUAACACAUGCAAGUCGAACGGAAAGGCCCUGCUUUUGUGGGGUGCUCGAGUGGCGAACGGGUGAGUAACACGUGAGUAACCUGCCCUUGACUUUGGGAUAACUUCAGGAAACUGGGGCUAAUACCGGAUAGGAGCUCCUGCUGCACGGUGGGGGUUGGAAAGUUUCGGCGGUUGGGGAUGGACUCGCGGCUUAUCAGCUUGUUGGUUGGGUAGUGGCUUACCAAGGCUUUGACGGGUAGCCGGCCUGAGAGGGUGAACGGCCACAUUGGGACUGAGAGACGGCCCAGACUCCUACGGGAGGCAGCAGUGGGGAAUAUUGCACAAUGGGCGGAAGCCUGAUGCAGCAACGCCGCGGGCGGGAUGACGGCCUUCGGGUUGUAAACCGCUUUCGCCUGUGACGAAGCGUGAGUGACGGUAAUGGGUAAAGAAGCACCGGCUAACUACGUG